UUGAACAUACAAGUUACAACUCUUGGCUAUAAUCCACUACAAUGAUCAUCAUCAUCAUUACUACCAUCUGACAUCAGACUCAUCAAAGAGCCAGGUGCACAUCCUGCCCGGUUGCUGAGGAGGAGCAGCCUGCGCCUGGAAGAGCUGGAUCAAAAGCAUAAGGACCCUCAGUGAUAUUCAAUAUUUCUGCCACAUCACCAAGCUCAGGUGCCAUCACAGAUGCUCUCCGAUUCAACUACUGACGGGGGCUGGAUGCUAAGAAGACUAAGCCUCCCAUCUUCAUGACAGCUACCAUAACGCACUGGCAAUCUCAGUGUUGGUCCCAAAGUGCUCCGCUUCUUUGAGCCAUUCAUGAUGCAGCGGGACAACGAUGUGUGACACAAACCUCAAGACACCAGCGUUGCAUCAGCUCUCAUGCCAGAGUGAGCCACAAGGAGCAAAGGGACAGACCAGCAUCAGCUCCCAGCACCAAGAACAUUUUCAAAAUGUGACAUUCCUGGAUUUUUGAAUAUUGUACAAGUUUGUGGGUGAUUACAAAAUGCUGAACCCAUG